UGCGUAGGCGGUUAUGCGUGUUGGAUGUGAAAUCCCACUGCUCAACAGUGGAACUGCAUUCAAAACUGCAUAGCUUGAGUACAGGGGAGGAGAGCGGAAUUCUUGGAGUAGCGGUGAAAUGCGUUGAUAUCAAGAAGAACACCGGCGGCGAAGGCGGCUCUCUGGAAUGUAACUGACGCUGAGGCACGAAAGUUGGGGUAGCAAACAGGAUUAGAUACCCUGGUAGUCC
rnacentral:rRNA from 1 species